GCUCAGGACGAACGCUGGCGGCGUGCUUAACACAUGCAAGUCGAACGGAAAGGCCCUUCGGGGUGCUCGAGUGGCGAACGGGUGAGUAACACGUGGGUGAUCUGCCCUGCACUUUGGGAUAAGCCUGGGAAACUGGGUCUAAUACCGGAUAGGACCACGGUCUGCAUGGAUUGUGGUGGAAAGCUUUUGCGGUGUGGGAUGGGCCCGCGGCCUAUCAGCUUGUUGGUGGGGUGAUGGCCUACCAAGGCGACGACGGGUAGCCGGCCUGAGAGGGUGACCGGCCACACUGGGACUGAGAUACGGCCCAGACUCCUACGGGAGGCAGCAGUGGGGAAUAUUGCACAAUGGGCGCAAGCCUGAUGCAGCGACGCCGCGUGAGGGAUGACGGCCUUCGGGUUGUAAACCUCUUUCAGCACAGACGAAGCGCAAGUGACGGUAUGUGCAGAAGAAGGACCGGCCAACUACGUGCCAGCAGCCGCGGUAAUACGUAGGGUCCGAGCGUUGUCCGGAAUUACUGGGCGUAAAGAGCUCGUAGGUGGUUUGUCGCGUUGUUCGUGAAAACUCACAGCUUAACUGUGGGCGUGCGGGCGAUACGGGCAGACUGGAGUACUGCAGGGGAGACUGGAAUUCCUGGUGUAGCGGUGGAAUGCGCAGAUAUCAGGAGGAACACCGGUGGCGAAGGCGGGUCUCUGGGCAGUAACUGACGCUGAGGAGCGAAAGCGUGGGGAGCGAACAGGAUUAGAUACCCUGGUAGUCCACGCCGUAAACGGUGGGUACUAGGUGUGGGUUUCCUUCCUUGGGAUCCGUGCCGUAGCUAACGCAUUAAGUACCCCGCCUGGGGAGUACGGCCGCAAGGCUAAAACUCAAAGGAAUUGACGGGGGCCCGCACAAGCGGCGGAGCAUGUGGAUUAAUUCGAUGCAACGCGAAGAACCUUACCUGGGUUUGACAUGCACAGGACGCCGGCAGAGAUGUCGGUUCCCUUGUGGCCUGUGUGCAGGUGGUGCAUGGCUGUCGUCAGCUCGGU
rnacentral:rRNA from 1 species